UACAGAGGGUGCGAGCGUUGUUCGGAAUUAUUGGGCGUAAAGGGCGCGUAGGCGGUCUGUCGCGUCGGCUGUGAAAUCCCGGAGCUCAACUCCGGGCCUGCAGUCGAUACGGGCAGACUGGAGUUCGGCAGGGGAGACUGGAAUUCCUGGUGUAGCGGUGAAAUGCGCAGAUAUCAGGAGGAACACCUGUGGUGUAGACAGCUUACUGGACCAUUUCUGACGCUGAGACACGAAAGCGUGGGUAGCAAACAGG
rnacentral:rRNA from 1 species